GGGAGGCCGGGCACGGCUGGCAGAGGAGAAAGGGAAACAGACACAGAGAGGGAAGACGACUCACAGGCUGAGACUUGAGAUUAUACUACGGAAAACAAGGCCCCAUGCUGGCAAAUCCUCCAGGGUGAGGGAUUCCUGCAUUUGCCCAGCUGGAGCCUCACCAGACAGAAAGGCUUCUCCUCUGAGCCUGCUUUACCAUGCCCCCACUCCCCCCGGAUCCAGCCCUGACCUGUCCCACUCCCUGGAGCUAGCAUGUCUGCCUCCACAGUUGCCUGGAGUAUGUGUGAGCCCACCCUUUGAUGUCUGGCUGCCCCUUCUGGUGGACUCCUUUGAAGAAAAGAUGUGGAGCUGGGGGAGGCGGUUGCGGAGAAGCCAUCUUUUAUUGAGCACCUACUAUGUGCCAGAAUAAUUCCAGCUAAUGUGGAAGGAAUAUGGAAUUAGAAAAAUCACCAUUUUGUAACUCCUAAUGAAGUAAUGAUCAAAGCAAGACUCACCUAAUGGAUGAAACCAAAGAUGAUGGGUGAUGGAGAACUUUACAAUGGAAAUUGAGCUGCCACAACCUAACCCCACGGAUGCAUCUUAGCUUCACUAAAAGUGACACAACCAGGCACUGUGUACCUCCUGAUGUGACAUAAUCUGAAGCACUCAUCACCACCUAUGAAGGAAUCUUGCCAAAGAAACAAACAAACAAACAAAAUUGAACAUAAACCUAAUCAAACCUCUAGUGCUGACUUCCAUUUAACAGGAAAUACAGUGAAUGAAGGAACAAAUAAAAUGACACAAUAAGGAAGUAGGUAAACGCCCCCAGAAUGUGUGACAUUCUAAAGGAAAUCUGACCCCAUUUCUUCAACUAGUGAAUGGCUGGGGGAAAAAAAAUGAGAAGGGACUUAAGAAGACAACCAUUGCAUGGAACACAAGGACCUUGUUUGGUUCCUAAUUUGGACAACUCAACUGUAAAGACAGUUGAGGACAUGUAAUUAUGGACUGGGUAUUUAUGAUAACAAGGAAGCAGUGCUAAUUUUGUUAGAUAUAAAAAUGGCUCUUGGGUUAUAGAAGAGAAGGUUGUUAUUUCCUAGAGAUGUAUGCUGAAGUAUGGAGUGAAGUGACCUAUUUAAUUUUAAAUAUUUCAGCAGAGAAAAAAAGGACAGAAAGGGGCUGGGUGUGGUGGCUCACAUCUGUAAUCCCAGCACUUUGAGAGGCCGACGCAGGAGGAU